rnacentral:tRNA from 1 species
GGGCAUAUAGCUCAAGUGGUAGAGUGUUUGUUUGACACGCACAAAGUUCUAGGUUGAAUCUUAUGCCCU